CUUCCCUGUCUGACACCAGGACCUGCAGCACCCCUGCGGGCUUCUGGCCUUCUGAUGGGAUACAGCAGUGGCCUCACUUCCCCCCCGCUGGAUUAGUUCCUCCUGGGGCCUAAAGAGAAGCCAACACA